CCCGACGAACAACUUCCAUUAGUGCUCACUUGGACAAGGGUAAGUUGACGCCCUUAUUUCGAUACAUUCCCGUUUCUAUUAUAUUAUGGGAAAUUUCUGGGGUAUAGAUGGGAGUGUGGUGAAUAUUUGUACAAAGUUUCAUGUUAUUUGAACUUCGUUUACUACCCUUUUAAAAUUUGAGAAGUCUACUGCCCGUAUCUGUUGAAACUGUCGUGAGGCAGAUGAUUAAGUUAACUAUUUCAGUAACCAUAUGUUGAUAUUUAGCUCUCAAAUUUUUAUGGUAUAAAUUUAUAUGCGUUAUCUAUCUGCAUAUAAAAUUUGAGGUCAUUCCGGAAACGUUUGCUAUUUUUCAAAGAUCUGGACUUUCAGUUGGCAGAAACUGCCGAAUCUGGUAGGCGAUGGGAAAAUCGCUAUAUCUCUUAAACUACUUGGAGUUUUUCAACACACUUUUUUUUCAAUUAAACUAGACUCAAAGAGGUUUCAAUUGAAAUAAAAUUCGACUCCAUACGAGUUCGGAGUAAAAGCAGUUUAUUAGUUGAAGUUGAAUCUAUACAGUUUUGUUGAGAUGGAAAUGAUUCAAAAUAAUUCCUAUUAAGGAUUUUAAAGUUUUAUUGUUGAUAAAAUAUCACUUUUAGUUUAUAAAUGAGCUAUUGAUGUGUAUAUAUAUAUAUUGGAGAUUGGCAUUAUUAAAUGGGGAAAAGGAAAACGUUUUAUGUUUAUAGAAUUAUUCUUUAUUUAUAAUAGAUAAAUAAAUGAAUAAAAUGGAAUUUCCUACAUCCUCAAAGGUACAUGAAGUAUUUUGAUAAAGGAAGAACGAUUGUAUAUGAGUUAGAUAUAGUCGUUUAAGGAAAUAUGGGUAGUUAGAGAAAUGAGUGAAUAGUGAUUCACUGCAUUUGUUGUUAUCUUUUCUAUUAUUCACUCGAACACAUGUUUUCGUGUUAUCAAAGGUUCAAAUAAACAAAAGCGUCUGAGUAACCUAUCGCGCUAAGGAAAGAGAAUCGUUGUCUUAAGUAGCAAAACACUGCAAUCAGGUUGAGCUGAUGUGAUGAUGGUGCUGCAAUGAGCGGAGUCUCCAGGGUUGUUAAUAAAUAGUUAACCUGUCUAGAAUAUGUCUUCAUACAUAUGUCUAGCUACUUUCCGCUGCAAGAUGUUGUUAAUGUUAUAGUAUGUUAUGUCAUACUUUGAGUCUUAAGAGAAUGGUUUCAUAUGAUGUAUAACUCGAUUAAUGAUAUUAAUUAAGUUUUAUGUUGUCUUUCAUAGACUGUUCAAAAGAGUAUUAAUGAGU